rnacentral:lncRNA from 1 species
GUUUUUGCUAAUCUGUAAUUAGAAAAAUUCAGUUAAUGAUACAUCAAGUGGUGGGAGUAUUUUGAAAAUUCUUUGAAGAGUGCGAGAGCUACACCUUGUACCCUGAGGCUUCCAAGGUAAACAUCAUUCAAUUAUCUGUAAUAAAAAUGAGGAACAAGAAUAAAAGUAGAUUUAACAAAUAACAGCAUUAAGAAUAGCUAUUGUGUAAUCUGUUCUCACAGUGGGUUCGUUUAUAGUGUUUUGUUAGAAACUAGUAGGCACACUAAACAUUUUAAUGAGACUCACUGCAUGAAUAAUGAAUGUAAAAGGAUCCUGAGUAUAUACUCCUACCUUGACAAAAGUAACCUUUAAAUUGAAGACUGAUUUCUUGGGCAAGAAUUUUUUCAGUUUAAUGUUAUUAAGAAAAUAGCAGAUUUUGAGGCACCUGGCUGGCUCAGCCGGUACAGCGUGCAACUCCUGAUCUCAGGUUAGAAGUUCAAGCCCCACGUUGGGUAUAGAGGUUACUUAAAAAUAAAAUCUUAAGAAUAGCAGAUUUUAUGUACUAUGACCACUGGGACAUGGGUGGGACAUGGGAAGUCAAGAUCCUGUGGAUUGCUAGGAUCACUCAUUCUUGGGCAAGAAUACCCAAUAUUCUAUCAGAAUCAGUUGGACCAGAGGUUUUCUGGUCCAGCUCUUUCAUUUUUCUGGCCCCCUCACUCGGAUAAUCCUACUUAUUCUCUUUCAUUCUGGUCCAGAGGACACCUUUGAUGAAUUCCAAGAUCUAGGUCACUAGAGAAAAUUGUAGUUAUCUAGUUGUCUAUAUUGAAAUGUUUUCUGGAAACUCUUGGUGGAAAGUUUAAGACUUCUAAGAAUGCUGUACAAUUGUUCCUUUUAAACGUGUCAUAAAUUCUCUCUCUCUUCUAGGUUAUUCAUUUAAAGUCAAUUGAGUUCCACAUUCCCUGGAUGGUUGAGCAGCCAUUUACCAUACAAGUCAAAACUGAUGAAUCCUUUAAGCCUGUAUGUUUAAAAGAUUGGCAGUGAAAUGUUUUGUGGACUUAAGUACCACAUACCCAAUUAAGUCCAUUGCUGUACAGAGGACACGCACCUGUUUCUGGUAUGUGUAGUGACCGUCUCUUUCACUCAUUCGGUGAAUACACCACCAGAGAGG